rnacentral:rRNA from 1 species
AACGAACGCUGGCGGCAUGCCUAACACAUGCAAGUCGAACGAGAUCUUCGGGUCUAGUGGCUCACGGGUGCGUAACGCGUGGGAAUCUGCCCUUUGGUUCGGAAUAACAGGUGGAAACGACUGCUAAUACCGGAUGAUGACGAAAGUCCAAAGAUUGAUCGCCAGAGGAUGAGCCCGCGUAGGAUUAGCUAGUUGGUGUGGUAAAGGCGCACCAAGGCGACGAUCCUUAGCUGGUCUGAGAGGAUGAUCAGCCACACUGGGACUGAGACACGGCCCAGACUCCUACGGGAGGCAGCAGUGGGGAAUAUUGGACAAUGGGCGAAAGCCUGAUCCAGCAAUGCCGCGUGAGUGAUGAAGGCCUUAGGGUUGUAAAGCUCUUUUACCCGGGAUGAUAAUGACAGUACCGGGAGAAUAAGCUCCGGCUAACUCCGUGCCAGCCGCCGCCGUAA